GUCCGGUGCUCUGAAUGUCAAAGUGAAGAAAUUCAACCAAGCGCGGGUAAACGGCGGGAGUAACUAUGACUCUCUUCCGGUGAACAGCAC
rnacentral:rRNA from 11 species